rnacentral:rRNA from 1 species
UUCCGGUUGAUCCUGCCGGAGGCCAUUGCUAUUGGGAUUCGAUUUAGCCAUGCUAGUCGCACGAGUUCAGACUCGUGGCGAAUAGCUCAGUAACACGUGGCCAAACUACCCUUCGGACCACUAUACCCUCGGGAAACUGAGGCUAAUAAUGGAUACCACAGUCCAGCUGGAAUGAGGACUGUGCCAAACGCUCCGGCGCCGAAGGAUGUGGCUGCGGCCGAUUAGGUAGACGGUGGGGUAACGGCCCACCGUGCCAAUAAUCGGUACGGGUCAUGAGAGUGAGAACCCGGAGACGGAAUCUGAGACAAGAUUCCGGGCCCUACGGGGCGCAGCAGGCGCGAAACCUUUACACUGCACGACAGUGCGAUAAGGGAAUCCCAAGUGCGUAGGCAUAGAGCCUACGCUUUUGUCCACCGUAGGGAGGUGGACGAAUAAGGGCUGGGCAAGACCGGUGCCAGCCGCCGCGGUAAUACCGGCAGCCCGAGUGAUGGCCGAUCUUAUUGGGCCUAAAGCGUCCGUAGCUGGCCGCACAAGUCCAUCGGAAAAUCCACCCGCCCAACGGGUGGGCGUCCGGUGGAAACUGUGUGGCUUGGGACCGGAAGGCGCGACGGGUACGUCCGGGGUAGGAGUGAAAUCCCGUAAUCCUGGACGGACCGCCGAUGGCGAAAGCACGUCGCGAAGACGGAUCCGACAGUGAGGGACGAAAGCUAGGGUCUCGAACCGGAUUAGAUACCCGGGUAGUCCUAGCCGUAAACAAUGCCUGCUAGGUGUGGCUCCCACUACGAGUGGGUGCUGUGCCGUAGGGAAGCCGCUAAGCAGGCCGCCUGGGAAGUACGUCCGCAAGGAUGAAACUUAAAGGAAUUGGCGGGGGAGCACUACAACCGGAGGAGCCUGCGGUUUAAUUGGACUCAACGCCGGA